GGCGGAGUGCCAGAGUGGUUAAUGGGUAUGACUAGAAAUCAUAUGGUUUCGGCCU
rnacentral:tRNA from 1 species